rnacentral:rRNA from 1 species
UUAAGCGAAUAAGCGUACACGGUGGAUGCCUAGGCAAUCAGAGGCGAUGAAGGACGUGCUAAUCUGCGAAAAGCGUCGGUAAGGUGAUAUGAACCGUUAUACCCGACGAUAUCCGAAUGGGGAAACCCAGUAUCCAAUGGAUACUAUCAUUAACUGAAUCCAUAGGUUAAUGAGGCGAACCGGGAGAACUGAAACAUCUCAGUACCCCGAGGAAAAGAAAUCAACCGAGAUUCCCCUAGUAGCGGCGAGCGAACGGGGAGCAGCCCAGAGUCUUAAUCAAUAACAGUGUCAGGAGAACGGUCUGGAAAGUCCGGCAGUAAAGGGUGAUAGCCCCGUAUCUGAAGAUGCUGUUAUUGUGAACUCGACGAGUAGGGCGGGACACGUGUUAUCCUGUCUGAAUAUGGGGGGACCAUCCUCCAAGGCUAAAUACUCCUGAUUGACCGAUAGUGAACCAGUACCGUGAGGGAAAGGCGAAAAGAACCCCGGCGAGGGGAGUGAAAAAGAACCUGAAACCGUGUACGUACAAGCAGUAGGAGCCUCUUUAUGGGGUGACUGCGUACCUUUUGUAUAAUGGGUCAGCGACUUAUAUUCUGUAGCGAGGUUAACCGUAUAGGGGAGCCGUAGGGAAACCGAGUCUUAACUGGGCGAAUGAGUUGCAGGGUAUAGACCCGAAACCCGGUGAUCUAUCCAUGGGCAGGUUGAAGGUUGGGUAACACUAACUGGAGGACCGAACCGACUAAUGUUGAAAAAUUAGCGGAUGACUUGUGGAUGGGGGUGAAAGGCCAAUCAAACCGGGAGAUAGCUGGUUCUCCCCGAAAGCUAUUUAGGUAGCGCCUCGUGAACUCAUCUUCGGGGGUAGAGCACUGUUUCGACUAGGGGGUCAUCCCGACUUACCAACUCGAUGCAAACUGCGAAUACCGAAGAAUGUUAUCACGGGAGACACACGGCGGGUGCUAACGUCCGUCGUGAAGAGGGAAACAACCCAGACCGCCAGCUAAGGUCCCAAAGUCAUGGUUAAGUGGGAAACGAAGUGGGAAGGCUCAGACAGCCAGGAUGUUGGCUUAGAAGCAGCCAUCAUUUAAAGAAAGCGUAAUAGCUCACUGGUCGAGUCGGCCCGCGCGGAAGAUGUAACGGGGCUAAACCAUGCACCGAAGCUGCGGCAGCGACACAAAGUGUUGUUGGGUAGGGGAGCGUUCUGUAAGCCUGCGAAGGUGUACUGUGAGGUAUGCUGGAGGUAUCAGAAGUGCGAAUGCUGACAUAAGUAACGAUAAUGCGGGUGAAAAACCCGCACGCCGGAAGACCAAGGGUUCCUGUCCAACGUUAAUCGGGGCAGGGUGAGUCGACCCCUAAGGCGAGGCUGAAAAGCGUAGUCGAUGGGAAACGGGUUAAUAUUCCCGUACUGGUGGUAACUGCGAUGGGGGAACGGAGAAGGCUAGGUUGUCCGGGCGACGGUCGUCCCGGUUCAAGCAGGUAGGCAGAGUGAUUAGGCAAAUCCGGUCACUUAAUGCUGAGAUGUGAUGACGAACCACCAAGGUGGUGAAGCAAUUGAUGCCCCGCUUCCAGGAAAAGCCUCUAAGCUUCAGGUUACCAACAAUCGUACCCCAAACCGACACAGGUGGUCAGGUAGAGAAUACUCAGGCGCUUGAGAGAACUCGGGUGAAGGAACUAGGCAAAAUGGUGCCGUAACUUCGGGAGAAGGCACGCUGGCGGUAGGUAAAGUCCCUCGCGGACGGCGCUGAAGCCAGUCGAAGAUACCAGCUGGCUGCAACUGUUUAUUAAAAACACAGCACUGUGCAAACACGAAAGUGGACGUAUACGGUGUGACGCCUGCCCGGUGCUGGAAGGUUAAUUGAUGGGGUCAGCCGCAAGGCGAAGCUCCUGAUCGAAGCCCCAGUAAACGGCGGCCGUAACUAUAACGGUCCUAAGGUAGCGAAAUUCCUUGUCGGGUAAGUUCCGACCUGCACGAAUGGCGUAAUGAUGGCCAGGCUGUCUCCACCCGAGACUCAGUGAAAUUGAACUCGCUGUGAAGAUGCAGUGUACCCGCGGCAAGACGGAAAGACCCCGUGAACCUUUACUAUAGCUUGACACUGAACAUUGAGCCUUGAUGUGUAGGAUAGGUGGGAGGCUUUGAAGUGUGGACGCCAGUCUGCAUGGAGCCAACCUUGAAAUACCACCCUUUAACGUUUGAUGUUCUAACCUAGGCCCAUAAACUGGGUCGGGGACCGUGUCUGGUGGGUAGUUUGACUGGGGCGGUCUCCUCCUAAAGAGUAACGGAGGAGCACGAAGGUUGGCUAAGCAUGGUCGGACAUCAUGCGGUUAGUGCAAAGGCAUAAGCCAGCUUGACUGCGAGAGUGACGGCUCGAGCAGGUACGAAAGUAGGUCUUAGUGAUCCGGUGGUUCUGAAUGGAAGGGCCAUCGCUCAACGGAUAAAAGGUACUCCGGGGAUAACAGGCUGAUACCGCCCAAGAGUUCAUAUCGACGGCGGUGUUUGGCACCUCGAUGUCGGCUCAUCACAUCCUGGGGCUGAAGUAGGUCCCAAGGGUAUGGCUGUUCGCCAUUUAAAGUGGUACGCGAGCUGGGUUUAGAACGUCGUGAGACAGUUCGGUCCCUAUCUGCCGUGGGCGUUGGAAGAUUGAGAGGGGUUGCUCCUAGUACGAGAGGACCGGAGUGAACGCACCACUGGUGUUCGGGUUGUCAUGCCAAUGGCAUUGCCCGGUAGCUAAGUGCGGAAGAGAUAACCGCUGAAAGCAUCUAAGCGGGAAACUUGCCUCGAGAUGAGUCUUCCCUGUCGCUUUAAGCGACCUAAAGGAACGUUUAAGACUAAGACGUUGAUAGGCUGGGUGUGUAAGCGUAGUGAUACGUUGAGCUAACCAGUACUAAUGAACCGUGAGGCUUAACCUG